GGACGAACGCUGGCGGCGUGCUUAACACAUGCAAGUCGAACGGAAAGGCCCUGCUUUUGUGGGGUGCUCGAGUGGCGAACGGGUGAGUAACACGUGAGUAACCUGCCCUUGACUUUGGGAUAACUUCAGGAAACUGGGGCUAAUACCGGAUAGGAGCUCCUUCUGCAUGGUGGGGGUUGGAAAGUUUCGGCGGUUGGGGAUGAACUCGCGGCUUAUCAGCUUGUUGGUGGGGUAGUGGCUUACCAAGGCUUUGACGGGUAGCCGGCCUGAGAGGGUGACCGGCCACAUUGGGACUGAGAUACGGCCCAGACUCCUACGGGAGGCAGCAGUGGGGAAUAUUGCACAAUGGGCGGAAGCCUGAUGCAGCAACGCCGCGUGCGGGAUGACGGCCUUCGGGUUGUAAACCGCUUUCGCCUGUGACGAAGCGUGAGUGACGGUAAUGGGUAAAGAAGCACCGGCUAACUACGUG
rnacentral:rRNA from 1 species